AGCAGCCGCGGUAAUUCCAGCUCCAAUAGCGUAUAUUAAAGUUGUUGCAGUUAAAAAGCUCGUAGUUGAAUUUCGGGGUUAGUAGGUCGGUCAUGCCUCAGGUAUGCACUGGUCUCACUGAUUCCUCCUUCCUGAUGAGCCGUAAUGCCAUUAAUUUGGUGUUGCGGGGAAUCUGGACUGUUACUUUGAAAAAUUAGAGUGUUUAAAGCAGGCUAACGCUUGAAUACAUUAGCAUGGAAUAAUGGAAUAGGACGUUCGAUCCUAUUUUGUUGGUUUCUAGGAUUGACGUAAUGAUUAAUAGGGAUAGUUGGGGGCAUUAGUAUUCAAUUGCCAGAGGUGAAAUUCUUGGAUUUAUUGAAGACUAACUACUGCGAAAGCAUUUGCCAAGGAUGUUUUCAUUAAUCAAGAACGAAAGUUAGGGGAUCGAAGACGAUCAGAUACCGUCGUAGU
rnacentral:rRNA from 1 species